ACUUUAAUCUAUUCGCCACCCAACAAGCCUCACUCCCCCGGGGCUAUUUUAGAUAAGGGGGCGUUUGACACCAGUGUAGGUGAAGAACUCUCCCCGCUGUGCUCCAUUUGGUGCCGUCCUUCACCUCGGCCACUGACCGGACGGCCAUCGACCCGCACAGCUCCUCACAGACGGCCAACAAAUGCUGCCACAAAUGGAUCUAAUUGGCACCUCUGCAUGCCCCGUUCAGAGGAGGGCAGAGAUCAGGUGGGCAGACGCGGGACUGAGAGAAACAGGAGAAAAUUUUGGAUACGCACACAUUUACAGUGCCGCCCACUAAUAUUGGCACCCUUGGUAAAUAUGAGCAAAGGUGGCUGUGAAAAUAAAUCUGCAUUGUUUAUCCUUUUGAUCUUUCAUUCCAAAAAUGUCCUAAAUUCUAACUUUUAAUUGAAGUAAAACAAUGGAAAGUGGGGGUAAAAACUCAUUAUGAAAUAAAUGUUUUACUAUAGUUCACAUUAGUCACAGUUAUGGGCACCCAAUUAUCGCAAUGUCCUUUUCUCAAGGUAAGAUCUCUCUGAGUUUUCUAGUAUAAUGCCUGAAGAGUUUGUAGGACACUUGACGAGAUCAUAGACCAUUCCUUCAUCCAGAAUCUCUCCAGAUCCUUCAGAUUCACAGCUUCUUCUCUUCAGCUCACUUCACUCAUUUUCUACAGGGUUCAGGUCAGAGGACUGGGAUGGUCAUGGCAGAAGCUUGGUUUUGUGCUCAGUGACACACUUUUUGUGUUGAUUUUGAUGUUUGUUUUGGAUCAUUGUCCUAAAGGAAGAUCCAAACAUGGUCCAUUAUAAGAUUUCUAACAGAGGCAGUCAGGUUUCGAUAUUUUAUCUUUUGGUAUUUGAUAGAAUCCAUGAUGCCAUGCAUCUGAACGAGACGUCCAGGACCGCCGGCAGAACAACAGGCCCACAAUAUUAAAGAUCCAGCA
ensembl:lncRNA